UUGAUCCUGCCAGUAGUCAUAUGCUUGUCUCAAAGAUUAAGCCAUGCAUGUCUCAGUACAAGCCGCAUUAAGGUGAAACCGCGAAAGGCUCAUUAAAUCAGUUAUGGUUCCUUAGAUCGUACCCACAUUUACUUGGAUAACUGUGGUAAUUCUAGAGCUAAUACAUGCAAACAGAGUUCCGACCGGAGACGGGAGGAAUGCUUUUAUUAGAUCAAAACCAAUCGGCGGCGGGCGCGUUCGCGCGCCCGUUCGCCGCUCAACCUGGUGACUCUGAAUAACUUUCGGCUGAUCGCACGGUCCAGCACCGGCGACGCAUCUUUCAAAUGUCUGCCUUAUCAACUGUCGAUGGUAGGUUCUGCGCCUACCAUGGUCGUAACGGGUAACGGGGAAUCAGGGUUCGAUUCCGGAGAGGGAGCCUGAGAAACGGCUACCACAUCCAAGGAAGGCAGCAGGCGCGCAAAUUACCCACUCCCGGCACGGGGAGGUAGUGACGAAAAAUAACGAUACGGGACUCAUCCGAGGCCCCGUAAUCGGAAUGAGUACACUUUAAAUCCUUUAACGAGGAUCAAUUGGAGGGCAAGUCUGGUGCCA
rnacentral:rRNA from 1 species